rfam:Clostridium collagenovorans DSM 3089 genome assembly, contig: EJ35DRAFT_scaffold00012.12
UAAAUUGAGAGUUUGAUCCUGGCUCAGGACGAACGCUGGCGGCGUGCUUAACACAUGCAAGUCGAGCGAUGAAGUUCCUUCGGGAACGGAUUAGCGGCGGACGGGUGAGUAACACGUGGGCAACCUGCCUGUAAGUGGGGGAUAGC